UGCUCGCAAUCGCACAUCUAGCCGGCGUGGAGGUCGAGAGUUUCGGUGCGAGCACCGGCCGGCUCGACCUCUAGAGCGGUUUGAUAUGUCUGUAGUACGUGGGGUCCGGCUUUAGCCGGACUCUACGUACUACACGGUACCGGGAGCGGGCGCUCCGCGAUCGCGGGCGGGCCGGUCUGAAGACCGGCCCCUACCGGCAAGGUUGCUGAUUCCGCGUGUCAACCGGUCGUCACCACCUGACUCCGAACGUGAGCGGGUAGUACGAGGCGUUCGUGCCGCAGCCCCCCGAGCAGGCGUUCACCGUCCCCGCCGGAAGGUUCGCAGGGGCAUUGAUGGUCGGCCCCCACACAUAGUGAAAACGCGUCUCGAUGUAGAAUUUUGCCUCGCCGCCGAAGGUCACGCCGCCGCCGAUGUUGAUGCCGAAGUCGUUCGACGACCGAUCGCCGAGGAUGUUGUCGACCGACACGGCGACCGGAUAGCACACGUACCAGUACGGAUCGCAGUACGUUGCGUAGCCGACAGCCGGCGAGGUCAGCUGGAUCAUUCGGUGGUAGAUGCCGAGGCCGCCGAGCAGGAAGCCGCCGACCGCGCUGUCACUCGGAUGAUUCUUGUACACGAGGUUGAAGGAGCCGAUGUGCAUCUGAUGAUUGGCUUCAAUCAGCUGAGCGCUCGUCGCCCCGCCCGGAACCGGGCUCACCAGGAUCGUCUUCUCGGGCCCGUUCAUCCGCGAGUAGAUGUACUCGGUCUGCACCCCGAGAUUCUCGUUGAUGUUGAACGUCACGCCGAAGGUGCCGUCCCAGCCGGUGUCGAAGCUGUCCG
rnacentral:misc_RNA from 1 species